rnacentral:misc_RNA from 1 species
GAUGAAGAACGUAGCGAAAUGCGAUAAGUAAUGCGAAUUGCAGAAUCCGUGAGUCAUCGAAUCUUUGAACGCACAUUGCGCCCGCUGGUAUUCCGGCGGGCAUGCCUGUUCGAGCGUCAUUUCAACCCUCAAGCCCCCGGGUUUGGUGUUGGGGAUCGGCUCUGCCCUUCUGGGCGGUGCCGCCCCCGAAAUACAUUGGCGGUCUCGCUGCAGCCUCCAUUGCGUAGUAGCUAACACCUCGCAACUGGAACGCGGCGCGGCCAUGCCGUAAAACCCCAACUUCUGAAUGUUGACCUCGGAUCAGGUAGGAAUACCCGCUGAACUUAAGCAUAUCAAUAAGCGGAGGA